rnacentral:rRNA from 1 species
GACGAACGCUGGCGGCGUGCUUAACACAUGCAAGUCGAACGGAAAGGCCCUGCUUUUGUGGGGUGCUCGAGUGGCGAACGGGUGAGUAACACGUGAGUAACCUGCCCUUGACUUUGGGAUAACUUCAGGAAACUGGGGCUAAUACCGGAUAGGAGCUCCUGCUGCAUGGUGGGGGUUGGAAAGUUUCGGCGGUUGGGGAUGGACUCGCGGCUUAUCAGCUUGUUGGUGGGGUAGUGGCUUACCAAGGCUUUGACGGGUAGCCGGCCUGAGAGGGUGACCGGCCAUAUUGGGACUGAGAUACGGCCCAGACUCCUACGGGAGGCAGCAGCGGGGAAUAUUGCACAAUGGGCGGAAGCCUGAUGCAGCAACGCCGCGUGCGGGAUGACGGCCUUCGGGUUGUAAACCGCUUUCGCCUGUGACGAAGCGUGAGUGACGGUAAUGGGUAAAGAAGCACCGGCUAACUACGUG